GACGAACGCUGGCGGCGUGCUUAACACAUGCAAGUCGAACGGAAAGGCCCUGCUUGCAGGGUACUCGAGUGGCGAACGGGUGAGUAACACGUGGGUGAUCUGCCCUGCACUUCGGGAUAAGCCUGGGAAACUGGGUCUAAUACCGGAUAGGAGCCAUUUUUAGUGUGAUGGUUGGAAAGUUUUUUCGGUGUAGGAUGAGCUCGCGGCCUAUCAGCUUGUUGGUGGGGUAAUGGCCUACCAAGGCGGCGACGGGUAGCCGGCCUGAGAGGGUGGACGGCCACAGUGGGACUGAGAUACGGCCCAGACUCCUACGGGAGGCAGCAGUGGGGAAUAUUGCACAAUGGGCGCAAGCCUGAUGCAGCGACGCCGCGUGGGGGAUGACGGCCUUCGGGUUGUAAACUCCUUUCGCUAGGGACGAAGCUUUUUGUGACGGUACCUAGAUAAGAAGCACCGGCUAACUACGUA
rnacentral:rRNA from 1 species